GCGUUUGGAAAGAUUUUUCGGUUGGGGAGGGGCUCGCGGCCUAUCAGCUUGUUGGUGAGGUAAUGGCUCACCAAGGCGUCGACGGGUAGCCGGCCUGAGAGGGUGACCGGCCACACUGGGACUGAGACACGGUCCAGACUCCUACGGGAGGCAGCAGUGGGGAAUAUUGCACAAUGGGCGGAAGCCUGAUGCAGCAACGCCGCGUGAGGGAUGACGGCCUUCGGGUUGUAAACCUCUUUUAGCAGGGAAGAAGCGAAAGUGACGGUACCUGCAGAAAAAGCGCCGGCUAACUACGUGCCAGCAGCCGCGGUAAUACGUAGGGCGCAAGCGUUAUCCGGAAUUAUUGGGCGUAAAGAGCUCGUAGGCGGUUUGUCGCGUCUGCUGUGAAAUCCCGAGGCUCAACCUCGGGCCUGCAGUGGGUACGGGCAGACUAGAGUGCGGUAGGGGAGAUUGGAAUUCCUGGUGUAGCGGUGGAAUGCGCAGAUAUCAGGAGGAACACCGAUGGCGAAGGCAGAUCUCUGGGCCGUAACUGACGCUGAGGAGCGAAAGGGUGGGGAGCAAACAGGCUUAGAUACCCUGGUAGUCCACCCCGUAAACGUUGGGAACUAGUUGUGGGGUCCAUUCCACGGAUUCCGUGACGCAGCUAACGCAUUAAGUUCCCCGCCUGGGGAGUACGGCCGCAAGGCUAAAACUCAAAGGAAUUGACGGGGACCCGCACAAGCGGCGGAGCAUGCGGAUUAAUUCGAUGCAACGCGAAGAACCUUACCAAGGCUUGACAUAUACGAGAACGGGCCAGAAAUGGUCAACUCUUUGGACACUCGUAAACAGGUGGUGCAUGGUUGUCGUCAGCUCGUGUCGUGAGAUGUUGGGUUAAGUCCCGCAACGAGCGCAACCCUCGUUCUAUGUUGCCAGCACGUAAUGGUGGGAACUCAUGGGAUACUGCCGGGGUCAACUCGGAGGAAGGUGGGGAUGACGUCAAAUCAUCAUGCCCCUUAUGUCUUGGGCUUCACGCAUGCUACAAUGGCCGGUACAAAGGGCUGCAAUACCGUGAGGUGGAGCGAAUCCCAAAAAGCCGGUCCCAGUUCGGAUUGAGGUCUGCAACUCGACCUCAUGAAGUCGGAGUCGCUAGUAAUCGCAGAUCAGCAACGCUGCGGUGAAUACGUUCCCGGGUCUUGUACACACCGCCCGUCAAGUCAUGAAAGUCGGUAACACCUGAAGCCGGUGGCCUAACCCUUGUGGAGGGAGCCGUCGAAG
rnacentral:rRNA from 1 species